GCGAUCAUCAUUGAUGACUCUGGAAGACUCUAUGAUGAGUCCCAAGGAGACGUCUUCUGGUAACAAAGGAGGCCUGUACAAUGACUUUGACCUAACAGAGGCUGAAUUGAAGAUGAGUUUCAAGAAAGUGUUUGUUCUUUGGGAAACAAAAAAGAACAGGUCACCGGUUAGCGGAUGCUGUUGGUGUCCUGAAAACUCCCCUUUUAGAGCAGACUUCUCCUCCCCCAGCUGCUGUGAGGACUGGAUGCUGAUACCACCCUUCCCCAAAGUUUUGACUUCAACCAAAUAAAGGCAGCUUCACCCAGAGCUUGCAAGUCUUUGGCCUGAGGCCUGGCCGCCUCCCCUCAGGUGGAGCCGACGUGUGGAGUGACUCAUGACCCUGUGCUCCCCACUGUCAUCAGGCUGGAGCUAGCUGUGACCAUCAUAUUCUUGCUUAGCUUUCCCACUGUGCUAGCCGGCUUCCUUCACCCUGCUUCUCCUAAUUGAACUUUCACAAUAAAUCACUUACUGAA